UGGGGUAUAUUGCACAAUGGGCGCAAGCCUGAUGCAGCCAUGCCGCGUGUGUGAAGAAGGCCUUCGGGUUGUAAAGCACUUUCAGCGGGGUGGAAGGCGUUAAGGUUAAUAACCUUGGCGAUUGACGUUACCCGCAGAAGAAGCACCGGCUAACUCCGUGCCAGCAGCUGCGGUAAUACGGAGGGUGCAAGCGUUAAUCGGAAUUACUGGGCGUAAAGCGCACGCAGGCGGUCUGUCAAGUCGGAUGUGAAAUCCCCGGGCUCAACCUGGGAACUGCAUUCGAAACUGGCAGGCUAGAGUCUUGUAGAGGGGGGUAGAAUUCGAGGUGUAGCGGUAGAAUGCGUAGGGAUCUGGAGGAAUACCGGUGGCGAGGGCGGCCCCCUGGACAAAGUCUGACGCUCAGGUGCGAAAGCGUGGGGAGCAAACAGG
rnacentral:rRNA from 1 species